GAGAUGGCCGUCGCCCCGAAACCCCCAUUCGCGCCUCAUCCCGCUGCACACUCCCCACCCUCCCCGCUAGGGUUUUGCCACCAUAGUCGCUGCCGUUGUAUAGAGGCUCCUCUCCCGUCGCGCCUCCUCGUUAUCCCUCUUCGUGAUCCUCCGCCGCAGUGCUGCCCAGGAGCAGUCGCUGCUGGUGCACCUAGCCAUCCUCGUGACGGUCUCCUGCCUUGGCUUCUAGCACGAUGGCAUGGUGGGGACGGCUACGUCUCGACGUGCCCCGGCUUCCCCUCCGCUCCUCGUGCCUCGUAGUAGCGAUGGAGUCCCUAGGCGUGCGGUGGCGGUGGUCACCAACUGGUCAUCUUCUCUAAAGGUCACCCAUUUCUCCUAUUCCUCAAUCGGACGACGCUGUACCAAAUCUCCACACGUUGCUUGGGUUGCUUGGUAUGCUAGAACCGAUUCGGUUGAUCGACUGGUUGGUACAUGUGUCGUUUGAUUGACUGGUUGGAAUGGGUACUUUUCAUGGGAAUCAGAGGUAAAUUUAGGUUUCAUAUUUUUUUAUUUAUUUGCCACUUUUGUUUAUUUAUUUUUCACUCUUGUAAUUGUUGCUCUUAGGACCGUGGUUGUUGAUUUGUUGUCCUCUAAUUCUCUAGUCAUUAGAUAUUUGGUAGACCUCCGCUUUAUUUUCAUGGAACCUUAGCUUGUUGCCCUAUUAACCCAUAACUGACAUAAAGAUGUCCUUCACAAUCACAUAUUUGUGCAAAGUGAGUUGCUGUAAGGCUCCAUCCGAAGAAUUUAGAGGAUUUAGCUCAUGGUGCUGACAUUGGUAGUUGUGUUGAGUUGCAACCAGUGUAUUAAAUCGCGGGCUAAGAGGUUUAGCGGCUGGGUUCCAGAACAGCUAAGUCCAGCUAUAACCGGCUAUAGCGGAAGCUAAACAUUUUAGCGGAUUUGCAAAAAAAUAGAGUAUAAAUUUAACACAGAUGAAUAGACGACAACUUUGAUAGUCAUACAUAUUGCCAUACAUAUAGGAGUUCAGCUCUAUACAUGACUGCUGUAAAAUGUCUGAGCAGCUUAACUUAAAACAAAAUGUCUAAGCUCCAAGACAUUGAGAUCAUUAGUUUAGUUCACAGUUCACCCAAAAUGACUGUCCACAAGGUCAAAUAUAACAUUGUAAUCUAGCAUCAAUCAGAAUCAAAGGCAUGUGGAGACUUAUCAGAUUCAGAGGAUUCCAUUGCAAUGUCACCAUCUUCUGAAUCUGAUGAGGACUGCUGCACUUGAACUUGAACAUCACGCAUCAGAGACUGGAGGCUUCUUAACUUCUUUCUAGGCUUCAUAGACCUCUUUCUUUUUGCUUGUACUUGAACUUGUGCUUGUGAUGUUUGUUCUCCCUGUGAUCUUCCAUCUUGCGCUGGUUCAACAACAUCAUUCGGAAGAGGUACAAUACCAGUAAUGAAUUCAUUGUCAUCAUCACCAACAACAUCAUCUACUUCCCUCUCUAAAGGAUGUUUGUCUAUUCUCUCCUUCUUUCCCCUUAGCUUGGAGUUAAAUUUAACAAACACAAGGUCUCUCAUCCUAUCAUGAAGUAGCCUGUUUCUCCUUUUUGUAUGAACCUAUGAGUGAAAUUGUGAACAUAAGAUAACAUGUUUGAAACAAGAUUUGAAACAGUACAAUAAAUAUGGUUUUCUAUGCAUUUGGAUAGUAGAGCUUGCAGUUUUACUACUAAAAAUAUUCACAAGUGGCCAAAUAGAUCCCACAUAAGUGUAUUUACCUGUUCAAAUACGGACCAAUUUCUCUCACAAGCUGAGGAACUACAUGUUAGAUUUAGAAUUUUUGAAGCCAAUAUCCUCAGAUUAGGUGUGUUUGUACCAUGGUUUAGCCACCACUUUGCUGCAUAAACAAGUUAAUAAUUACAUAAUUGUGAAAGAGGCAAGAAACAAAUUGAAUUCUGAAACCAUAUAUUCAAAAUAGAAUCACCUGGAUUAAAGUUCUUGUUUCUCCUUUGCCUUAUGGCAAUUUCAUGUCCAAAUGUCCCUUGUUGAUCUUGGUACAUGUAGAGUUCUUCAAUUAUUUUGUCUUGUGUUUCUUCAUCACCAAUCAUCUUUGUAAUGCAAUUAAUCACUCCAGAUCUAAAGGAUCCAUCAUGCUCAUUUCAGACUUCUUUGGAUAAUAAAAGUAAGGAUUCAAGUAGUACCCAGCUAAGUGAAGCGGAAUUUUGAGCUUGCUAUCCCACCGCUUAUCAAUAAUAUCCCAAGCAACUUUGUAGCGGCUCUCAUCAUUGUCAAACCUCUCAGAAAUUUCUUUCUUUGCCUCAAGCAUUAAUCCAUGAAAGAAUUCCAUUGCCGGUACAUCACUGUCCAGUCUCCUCAACACAUUUGCCAAUGGUUCAAAAAAAUUUACAGCUAUAUCAACAUUUUUCCAAAAGGUUUCAGAUCUCACAACUUUAUUGGCUUUCUUUCCCUUGUCCUUUUUCAAGUAACCCAACUCAUUAAGUUCAUCUGAUCUGAACAACCUUGUCAAUUCUUUCUUGUUAUCAAGCAAGCUUUUCAAGUUCAAGUAGGUAGUAGCAAAUCUAGUAAUCCUAGAUCUCACCAAGUCUUUCUUCAGAAACUUUCUCAUCAAAUCUAACACCCUUGUGUGAGCAUACAAGAAAUUAGUGAUCUGCCUUGCACUUGUGAUAGUUUGCUCCACUGGCUCAAGCUUCCCAUGAUCCUCUAGCAUGAGAUCUAGGCAAUGAGCAGCACAUCCAUUCCAAAAUAUUGAGGGCCUCUUUGCUGUCAAUAGGCUUGCUGCUGCUGUAUUGACACUAGCAUUAUCAGUCACCACUUGGACAACAUUUGCCUCCCCAAUCUCCUCUAUGCAUUUGUCCACAAGGUCAAAUAUGUACUUACCAUCUUUUCUCUCACCCGAGCAGUCCACUGAAUCUAAGAAGCAAACUCCAUGAGCACUAUGGACGACUAAAUUCAUCACUCCCCUACCCUUCCUAUCUGUCCAUGCAUCUGUCAUGAUUGUACAUCCUGUUUGCUCCCAUGAUUCCUUGUGGUUCUUGAAACCAUCCAAUACCUUUUGUUUCCUUUUCUGCAAGAAUGGUCCACUCAUCUCAUAAGGACUAGGCCCUCUCAAACCUUUACCAAAUUGCCCAAUGGCCUCAAGCAUAAGUGCAAAGCUAGGAAGGGUGACUGUGUUGUGUGCAAUACUAGCUUCAUAAAAAAACUGACAUAUGUACUCACAAGCCUUAUCCCUUCUCUCUUCUCUUUUCUGAGUUGACAAUGUUGUUUGAACCUUGUUGCUAAGGUUAAUUCCUUUAUGCAUCAUCUGAACAGAUUCUUCAAUAGUAGAAGGUUUAUAAAAUCUGUCAAUAGUGCCACCACGUACCACUGUUCUACAGCUAAGGCUACUAGAACCUUUUGUUGGCUUUUGCUUCACCACAAGGACUUCAUUCCCAAGAUCAAUAUCCACUUGCUCACAACUUUCAUCUUCUGAGAUGUCUAAGUUAAUUUCAUCUCUCUCUUUCCUUUUCUUUUGCUUUAUGGUCCUUUUCUUCUGUAUUCUUUGUAAGCAAAGCAAUCAUAUCUUCUUUCACAUCACUUGGAACCUUCAAACACUUUGUAACAUUAUUCCCUUUAAUACCAGCAAGGUGCCACUUAAUUCUUGUAAUCCCAGCUUUGCAUAGCUUGUCACAGUACUUGCACUUCAGCCAAUGCUUCUUGUUUGCAUCUGGGCAAAAACAAUGAGCCCAGGCUACAUCAUCUGAGUUGAUAAUAGCUUGUGGUGCUGCUGCAUUUGAUACAGAGGCAGAGGCGACACUUGAUGGAAUAACUACACAAUUUGAAGACACAUAAUGCAUAAUAUUAGGAAAAUGAAAAGCUUUAAAUAGAUGAACAUCUAUUGAAGAAUGUGUUGCAGCCUACCGCCUACAUCAAUGGAACUACUACAACUAUUUUAAUCACGUAUAAAGCAAGAUACUGAUAAGAAAUUUAAUUGUCAUUACAGUAUUGCUUGCCACUACGACGUACGUUCUGGCAUGUGAAACCUUGACUUCUUCAAAAAUACGAGUUGCAAUAUUGCUUGUAUUCAGGUUUCAAAGUAUAUUCGUGUUGGAAAUCCAUAAAAAGCAGUUAGCGCUAACCAAAUGUUCAUCAAGCUUGUGAGCCAGAGUAGGGAUCAAUAACGAAACAAAAAAAUAAGUAAAAAUCAUGAACGCUAAUUAUUCCACUGCAUUAAAAAAAUAAGGUAAACUGGUCGAAGUGGAUACAUUUGUCAGCAAGAACAUUUCUUCACGUUAGCACCAUCUUAAAUUAUAGUUCAGCUGUUGACCAGGUUUAGGUACAUGGUACACGGAGAAGUCAAUAAAAUUGUUUUAAAAAGGUAUCAAUAGAGUGUCCAGAUUGUUAAUCUAUUUGCAAUAUCAAAUGCCCCAUCGCAGCUCCACCUUUUUUUUGCAGUGUCUAUACUUUUAUAUAUAUCCACCAUGGAAUAUUUUGAAUUAAAGUUCAUCUGAAAGAAAUAGGAUGAUACUCAAGUGAAUGAUACGGUAAAACAAUCAUAACUACAAGUCAAUUGGUUGUCUCAAAAGACAUCGACGGCAGAAGUAAAGACAAACCAUGAAACCGUAAAAGAUGUGGAGCUUACUUUAAUCACCAAAAAAAUGCUGCAGAAAACAUAGCUACAAGGGACUACACUACAUGUCACAUGAACAUCUAUUGAAAAAUACAUGCCUGUUUGCUUCUCUUGCUGAGACAUGGUGUCGGCCGGUUCAACUGAACAACAAUUGGAGGUUGGAGAGUGGAGAGAAUACUAUUGGAGUGCUGCCCUGAUUGUUGCUACUUGCUUCAUUGCUUGCCGCUAGCAGGGAACCAACGUGUUGAACUUGAACUGUUGAAGCUAGCCGCCGCCAUCAGGUUGAAGCCAGCCGCAAGUGCCUUUUGGAAAUGAGAGUCUGAGCUAGGGUUUGCAGUUUUGCACAAGAAAAGGCAGAGGGAGAUAAUGGGCUGGGUCGGACGCGCGCAAGAAAAUGGCCCAGGUUUGAUUUAGCUGCCGCUAGAAGAUGGCCCAUUUAACGGAUUUCGCCGGCUAAUAGCGGCUAAUAGCGGUCAGCAAGCAAUAGCGGCAGAAUUGUAAUCUCCUAGCGGCAUUGUUUGCCAGAAGCGAUCUCCGGCGAUAGCGGCAGCGAUCUCCGGUGAUUUAAAACAUUGGUUGCAACCAGAGUCCAAAAGCCUGAACUGAAGAAAUAUAAUUGGAUCUGCGAGUCCUAUAAAUUUGAUGAGGUCUUCAGUGAAAGUGCUUCACAAAAAACUGUGUAUGAGGAAGUUGCAAAGCCUAUGGUUGAUGUAUCUUCCUCUAGGAUGCUUUGACCUCAGAGAAACGCCAUUUAUUUCAUCUAAGGUUCCUUCUGCUGGUAUUAAGUCUUCUAAAAAACAUGAAUAUUAUGGUAGGUCGCUGUCAUGCAGCGCAUGAUUACAAGCACGGUCUUUCCUGUGGUAGACGAGGAUUAGUCUAGCACUAUGCCAAGGUAUAAAAGUUGUGGAUGGAGGAUGGAGGUUGAUUCUUGUGCAUGCUUGUAAAUUGUAAACAAUGCUCUGAGGCUAUAUAUCGGUGUUUGGCCCGCGGGUACUGAACCAACCAAUAAAUGUGCUGCAUGACUGACUCUAGAUGGUGUGCAAGAAGACACAAGCGAUUAUGCUAUUUUAGGCUACUCAAGGCCCUACUUCCAAUAGAGAGGACACGACUUAUAUUACUCGCACCAUGGUGCGUGUAAUAGGGGUUUACAAUCAUUGUGGGAGAGGGGAAAUCCCCAAGUCCCUAGAUAUGAUUGAGGCAAGUUCCAAUAUCUAAGACAAAGUGGAGAAGUGAGCGUUUGUCUAUGUGUGUCGAUGUGUGGGUGUCGAUCUUGAUCCCCGGUCCGUGGAGGGACCACUGCCCUAUUUGUACACCAAGGAGAGCGUCCUUAGUGAAGCCGGGUCUUGUAUUCGAAGGAGAGAUGCCUGGCGUCUAACGUGACGAUGAAUUGUGCAGUUGAUUCAUGCCUGCUCACUUCUCGUAGAGAGCCGAGGCCGCCCAUGCUAUAGUGGUUGUCAGGGGCGGAUUCAGGCCUGUGGCCACUAGAGCCCAGGCCCUACUCUUGGGCCGACUAAUUGUGUAAUAGCAGCCCAAAAAAUGUGAAUAGUAACCAUAAAUAGCCCAACUAGUUCGGUUUAGGGUUUGGCUAUCUAGCGUCUGCGUAUUGGAGCCGAGAGCAAGAGUAGAUAAGCAAGUAGCCACCAGCAAGCAAGCAGGAAGUAGCCUAGCAGCGCAGCCGAGCAGAGCAGGAGCAGCGAGCAGGCAAUCCGGCGGCUGGGCAAGCAACAAGCAAGCAACUGCGCGCAGGGACGGAGGGACCGGCCACCGACUGGUUGGGCAAGCAAAAGCAAGCAGCGACUGCUUGCAAGCAGCGGCCUGCAAUUGCAAGCAAGCAGCGAUUCGAGCCGCGCCGCAUAGGGGGCUGGCCGGCCGGGCAAGGCAAGCAAGCAGCGGGCACCGGGCAGCGACGCAGCGCAGCAAGCAGGAGCAGCAAGCAGGCAAGCAGAGCAGCGCAACAAGCACCAAGCAGGUUUGUUGACUGUUGUUGUUUGACACCGAGAAAAACAUGUUGUGUUUGUGUCUAGAAAGUUUCAUAAUUCAUAGCGAUUUGUGUUACAAUUACAGUGUACAAUAUGAAGAGAGUUCGAACAAUUACAUCAUUUUAUAAAGUCGUGUCAUAUCAAGAA